UACGAAGGGGGCUAGCGUUGUUCGGAAUUACUGGGCGUAAAGCGCACGUAGGCGGAUUUGUAAGUCAGGGGUGAAAUCCCGGGGCUCAACCUCGGAACUGCCUUUGAUACUGCAAAUCUCGAGUCCGGAAGAGGUGAGUGGAACUCCGAGUGUAGAGGUGAAAUUCGUAGAUAUUCGGAAGAACACCCAUUGCGAAGGCAGCUCGCUACACUGAUAUUGACACUGAGGCACGAAAGCGUGGGGAGCAAACAGG
rnacentral:rRNA from 1 species